rnacentral:rRNA from 1 species
UAACCUGCCCAAGAGAUCGGGAUAACACCUGGAAACAGAUGCUAAUACCGGAUAACAAUAGAUGAUGCCUAUCAACUGUUUAAAAGAUGGUUCUGCUAUCACUCUUGGAUGGACCUGCGGUGCAUUAGCUAGUUGGUAGGGUAACGGCCUACCAAGGCAUGAUGCAUAGCCGAGUUGAGAGACUGAUCGGCCACAUUGGGACUGAGACACGGCCCAAACUCCUACGGGAGGCAGCAGCC